AAACCAUAGGAUCAUUUCAAUAGCUGCAGAAAAACCAUUCAGCAAAGUACAACAUCCAUUCAUGAUAGAAACCCUCAACACAGUAGGUUUAGAGGGAGCAUACUUCAACAUAAUAAAGGCAUAUAUGAAAAAC